GGAGAGGUGACCGAGAGGCCGAAGGUGACGGAUUGCUAAUCCGUUGUACGUGCCUAAACAUGUACCGAGGGUUCGAAUCCCUCCCUCUCCG
rnacentral:tRNA from 1 species